rnacentral:misc_RNA from 1 species
UGAAUGCAGCUUUCCAUCCAGCUUUACCAUUUUCAUUCACCUCUUUGAUGAUUGAUUCCCGAAGGAUUACGGAUUCCCCUUUAGCUUCAGAUAUUGGCUUCUCUGCAACAACCUGCAGGAUAAAGAUAAAGAAAGCACACAAAAGCAAUGGAGUUGGUAAGAACAUCUUGUUCAUGCCCAUUUUCAACUCUUUUUGUUUUUGAGUUCCAUGGAAACACAAAGAAAUAUGUAGUAGAUACA